rnacentral:lncRNA from 1 species
GGAAGGUGAAGCUGCAUAGCAUUGCUUUCGCCAUGUCUUUCAGGUCUGGCUAAAAGAAACCAGAAGAAGUGAAGCUUCAUUUUCCCUGGUGAGACCAGACCUACAGAACAAAGUAUCCUCCUGUACCAGCACAUUCAGGAACCAGCAGUAUUUUAAACCUUCUAAAUUUUAACUAGAUAAAUACAAGCUUUCUUUUCACGGGAAACUAGGAGAAGGCAGUGAAAGAGGUUUAAAUGCAUGCAACCACAGAGAUGGGAUGGCUCAGCAACUCCUGUUUGUCUGACAAGAAGAGAUACCUUUGUCCAAUGCCAGAUGUAAAUAAUUUGUUUGCUACUGAAGAAGUAUUCAUCUUGGCACUGGCCAGCAGGGCCUGUCUAGUGCCAAGAGUGAUUUCAGGAAACCCAGCAGAAUUGAGGCAGAGUUUCCUGGGAAUUAUGAUCCAGAGAAGAGCUGAGGGGCCACCUACUGCCCAGGAUCCCCAGAAUGGACAGCAAGGCAGCACUGCACUGCAUCAGAUCUCAGCUGACUCCAGCAGCCUGUGCUUGGAGAACUUUUUGUAG